rnacentral:RNase_MRP_RNA from 1 species
GGGCGAAAGUCCCCGGGCGCCGAGGCAGAAAGUGCCAGCCCGCGAGGGCAGGGCCUCCCCGGGCCACCGUACGCGGGUCCGGCCGGGGAGCAACUCGCCAUAGCGACAGUCAUGUGGCCAGCGGGUCCCGUUUUCUUUUUCGGGGCCCGUCAACUCAACGGGGCUUACUCUCGCG